UGCUGACCGGCGCGCCGGGCGCGUGGGCGGCCACGGUCAGCCCGGACGGGGAGGUCACGGCCGUCGCCGGUCCGGCCCCGGCGUCGCUGC
rnacentral:tRNA from 1 species